rnacentral:rRNA from 1 species
AUUGAACGCUGGCGGCAUGCCUUACACAUGCAAGUCGAACGGCAGCACGGGGGCAACCCUGGUGGCGAGUGGCGAACGGGUGAGUAAUGCAUCGGAGCGUGCCCAGUAGUGGGGGAUAACCAGUCGAAAGACUGGCUAAUACCGCAUACGACCUAAGGGUGAAAGCGGGGGACCGUAAGGCCUCGCGCUACUGGAGCGGCCGAUGUCUGAUUAGCUAGUUGGCGGGGUAAGAGCCCACCAAGGCGACGAUCAGUAGCUGGUCUGAGAGGACGACCAACCACGCUGGGACUGAGACACGGCCCAGGCUCCUACGGGAGGGAGCAGUGGGGAAUUUUGGACAAUGGGGGCAAGCCUGAUCCAGCCAUGCCGCGUGAGUGAAGAAGGCCUUCGGGUUGUAAAGCUCUUUCGGCCGGGAAGAAAUCGCGCGGGCUAAUACCCUGUGUGGAUGACGGUACCGGAAUAAGGAGCACCGGAUAACUACGUGCCAGCCGCCGCCGUAACAC